CUACGGGUUGCUCCAGUCAAGAAUCUUCCUCAAUGGGCGAAAGCCUGAAGGAGCGACACCGCGUGCAUGAAGAAGCCUUUCGGGGUGUAAAGUGCUUUUAUAUGUGACGAAACAAUGACGGUAGCAUAUGAAUAAGGGGCUGCUAACCUCGUGCCAGCAGCAGCGGUAAUACGAGGGCCCCAAGCGUUAUCCGGAUUUAUUGGGCGUAAAGCGUCCGUAGGUGGUUUAUCGCAUCUCCUGUUAAAUCUCGAGGCUCAACCUCGAGCCAGCGGGAGAGAUGGACAAACUAGAGAUCGGAAGAGGCAAACGGAAUUGCUGGUGUAGGGGUUAAAUCCAUUAAUAUCAGCAAGAACACCAAAUGCGAAGGCAGUUUGCUAGGACGAAUCUGACACUCAGUGGACGAAAGCGUGGGGAGCGAAUGGGAUUAGAUACCCCCGUAGUC
rnacentral:rRNA from 1 species